rnacentral:sRNA from 1 species
GCCGGGUAUGGGGACGCAUGCCUGUAAUCCCAGAGACUCGGGAGGCUGAGGCAAGAGGAUCACAAGUUUGAGGCCAGCUGGGGCAAGUUAGCAAGACCCUGUCUCAA